AGAGUUUGAUCCUGGCUCAGGAUGAACGCUAGCGGCAGGCCUAAUACAUGCAAGUCGGACGGGAUUGAAGAGCUUGCUUUUCAUGAGAGUGGCGCACGGGUGCGUAACACGUAUGUAACCUACCUUUGUCAGGGGGAUAGCCUCUCGAAAGAGAGAUUAAGACCGCAUAACAUGGAAGACACAGCAUUGUGACUCCAUCAAAUAUUUAUAGGACAAAGAUGGGCAUGCGGAACAUUAGCUAGUUGGUAAGGUAAUGGCUUACCAAGGCUACGAUGUUUAGGGGAUCUGAGAGGAUGACCCCCCACACUGGUACUGAGACACGGACCAGACUCCUACGGGAGGCAGCAGUAAGGAAUAUUGGUCAAUGGGCGGAAGCCUGAACCAGCCAUGCCGCGUGCAGGAAGACGGCCCUACGGGUUGUAAACUGCUUUUAUACGG
rnacentral:rRNA from 1 species